AUUGAACGCUGGCGGCAGGCCUAACACAUGCAAGUCGAACGAGUGGCGGACGGGUGAGUAAUGUUGGGGAAACUGCCUGAUGGAGGGGGAUAACUACUGGAAAUGGUAGCUAAUACCGCAUACCAUCAGAGGUUCCCAGUGGGGAUUAGCUAGUUGGUGGGGUAACGGCUCACCAAGGCGACGAUCCCUAGCUGGUGUGAGAGGAUGACCAGCCACACGGGAACUGAGACACGUGCCAGACUCCUACGGGAGGCAGCAGUGGGGAAUAUUGCACAAUGGGCGCAAGCCUGAUGCAGCCAUGCCGCGUGUAUGAAGAAGGCCUUCGGGUUGUAAAGUACUUUCAGCGGGGAGGCGUUACCCGCAGAAGAAGCACCGGCUAACUCCGUGCCAGCAGCCGCGGUAAUUC
rnacentral:rRNA from 1 species